ensembl:lncRNA novel transcript
ACCUCAACUCUACCAACUGUGAAUUCUACAUUCAGCAAACUUAGUUUAAUCUGUGAAGACUAAGUCAUUCUCACAUUUCUGGGAAUUAAGGAAAUCUAAAAUUAAUGCAUCCAUCAUUCAAUUCUAUGAGCUCCCAGUUCGCCUCGUCGCCAUGCCUCGGAAAAUUGAGGAAAUCAAGGAUUUUCUGCUCACAGUCCGAUGAAAGGAUGCCAAAUCCGUCAAGAUCAAGAAAAAUAAGGACAAUGUGAAGUUUAAAGUUUGACACAGCAAAUACCUUUACACCCUGGUCAUCACUGACAAAGAGAAGGCAGAUAAACUGUAGUCCCUGCCCCCUGGUUUGGCAGUGAAGGAACUAAAAUGAACCAGACACACUGAUUUGUGCUGUAUUAAAAUACUAAAAAUCCUAAAAAAAAAAAAA